UUUUUUCUUUGGUAUUCUUUCUCUCCCCAGACUUAUUCUUUUUAGAGAGUAAACAAAGGGGAACUCGCAUACUGGAUCGACACCCUCGACAUUUUUU
rnacentral:sRNA from 1 species